AUCCCCUCCGCCACCCUAUAUUUAUCAAUCACCACCCCCACCAUCACCGACACCUCCGCCACCAGCUCCAGUUGUCGAGGGGCCAUUGCCGCCUAUCGUCGGAAUCUCGUACGCAUCGCCCCCACCGCCGCCGUACCCGUACUACUGAUUCUUUUGAGAAUUGUCCCCCUCAUCCCUUCCCUUAGCGCACAAAAGAAGAUUUCACUAUUUACACUUCUCGGUUUUGUUUCGCAAAUCUUCUCCAAUUCCAUGCUUCUCUUGCUUUCUCAAUCUCAAUUACUGACAGGAGGGAAGUGCAUUGCUGCUAGGGGAUGUGGGUGGAAUUUCUCACCAUAAUCUGAGCUGUGAAUAAAGGGUUUAUUGAGAGAGUAGUGCAGCAUGGGAGCGAAUGUAUAGUGAUGCAGAUUCAAUUCAGA
rnacentral:misc_RNA from 1 species